rnacentral:rRNA from 1 species
UACGAAGGGGGCUAGCGUUGCUCGGAAUCACUGGGCGUAAAGCGCACGUAGGCGGACCUGCAAGUCGGGGGUGAAAGCCCGAGGCUCAACCUCGAGACGUCGGCGGAAACCAUCUGGCUAGAGUCCGGAAGAGGAGAGUGGAAUUCCUGGUGUAGCGGUGAAAUGCGCAGAUAUCAGGAAGAACACCCGUGGCGAAGGCGGCUCUCUGGGCUGACACUGACGCUCAUGCACGAAAGCGUGGGGAGCAAACAGG